rnacentral:rRNA from 1 species
CCAUGCAUGUCUAAGUAUAAACUUUUGUACGGUGAAACUGCGAAUGGCUCAUUAAAUCAGUUAUAGUUUAUUUGAUAUUACUUUACUACUUGGAUAACCGUGGUAAUUCUAGAGCUAAUACAUGCGAACAACCCUGACUCUUCGGAAGGGGUGUAUUUAUUAGAUAAAAAACCAAUGCGGGGCAACCCGGUUUUUUGGUGAUUCAUAAUAACUUUUCGGAUCGUAUGGCCUUGCGCCGACGACAGAUCAUUCAAAUUUCUGCCCUAUCAACUUCCGAUGGUAGGAUAGAGGCCUACCAUGGUUGCAACGGGUAACGGAGAAUUAGGGUUCGAUUCCGGAGAGGGAGCCUGAGAAACGGCUACCACAUCUAAGGAAGGCAGCAGGCGCGCAAAUUACCCAAUCCUGACACUGGGAGGUAGUGACAAGAAAUAGCGAUACAGGACCUUUCAGGUUUUGUAAUUGAAAUGAGGCAAAUUUAAAUACCUGAACGAGGACCCAUUGGAGGGCAAGUCUGGU